AAAGGAAUAGACGGGGGCUCACACAAGCGGUGGAGGAUGUGGCUUAAUUCGAGGCUACGCGAAGAACCUUAUCCAGGCCUUGACUACAACGGAUUAACCCCGCGAAAGCGGGGCCACGCCUUCGGGUGGAACGUUGAACAGGUGCUGCAUGGCUGUCGUCAGCUCGUGUCGUGAGAUGUCGGGUUAAGUCCCUUAACGAGCGCAACCCUUGUUGCUAGUUGCCAGCGAGUCAUGUCGGGGACUCUAGCAAGACUGCCGGUGUUAAACCGGAGGAAGGUGGGGAUGACGUCAAGUCCUCAUGGCCUUUAUGGCCUGGGCUGCACACGUCCUACAAUGGCGUCUACAAAGGGAAGCAAGCUCGCGAGAGUAAGCAAAUCCCAAAAAGGACGCCUCAGUACGGAUUGCAGGCUGCAACUCGCCUGCAUGAAGCUGGAAUCGCUAGUAAUCGCCGGUCAGCAUACGGCGGUGAAUGUGUUCCUGAGCCUUGCACACACCGCCCGU
rnacentral:rRNA from 1 species